GACGAACGCUGGCGGCGUGCUUAACACAUGCAAGUCGAACGGAAAGGUCUCUUCGGAGAUACUCGAGUGGCGAACGGGUGAGUAACACGUGGGUAAUCUGCCCUGCACUUCGGGAUAAGCUUGGGAAACUGGGUCUAAUACCGGAUAGGACCAAAAGGCACAUGCCUUGUGGUGAAAAGCUUUUUGCGGUGUGGGAUGGGCCCGCGGCCUAUCAGCUUGUUGGUGGGGUGACGGCCUACCAAGGCGACGACGGGUAGCCGGCCUGAGAGGGUGUCCGGCCACACUGGGACUGAGAUACGGCCCAGACUCCUACGGGAGGCAGCAGUGGGGAAUAUUGCACAAUGGGCGCAAGCCUGAUGCAGCGACGCCGCGUGGGGGAUGACGGCCUUCGGGUUGUAAACCUCUUUCACCAUCGACGAAGGUCCGGGAUUUCUCGGAUUGACGGUAGGUGGAGAAGAAGCACCGGCCAACUACGUGCCAGCAGCCGCGGUAAUACGUAGGGUGCGAGCGUUGUCCGGAAUUACUGGGCGUAAAGAGCUCGUAGGUGGUUUGUCGCGUUGUUCGUGAAAUCUCACGGCUUAACUGUGAGCGUGCGGGCGAUACGGGCAGACUGGAGUACUGCAGGGGAGACUGGAAUUCCUGGUGUAGCGGUGGAAUGCGCAGAUAUCAGGAGGAACACCGGUGGCGAAGGCGGGUCUCUGGGCAGUAACUGACGCUGAGGAGCGAAAGCGUGGGGAGCGAACAGGAUUAGAUACCCUGGUAGUCCACGCCGUAAACGGUGGGUACUAGGUGUGGGUUUCCUUCCUUGGGAUCCGUGCCGUAGCUAACGCAUUAAGUACCCCGCCUGGGGAGUACGGCCGCAAGGCUAAAACUCAAAGGAAUUGACGGGGGCCCGCACAAGCGGCGGAGCAUGUGGAUUAAUUCGAUGCAACGCGAAGAACCUUACCUGGGUUUGACAUGCACAGGACGCGUCUAGAGAUAGGCGUUCCCUUGUGGCCUGUGUGCAGGUGGUGCAUGGC
rnacentral:rRNA from 1 species